AGGGGUGCCAACAUCCGGUGGCCGCAGAGCAUAGGCCCAAGCGACUGUUUACCAAAAACAUAGGUUUCUGACAAGUCGCAAGACGAUGCAUAGGAGCUGACGCCUGCCCGGUGCUGGAAGGUUAAGGGGAUCGGUUAGAGCAAUCGAAGCAGUGAACUUAAGCCCCAGUAAACGGCGGCCGUAACUAUAACGGUCCUAAGGUAGCGAAAUUCCUUGUCGGGUAAGUUCCGACCCG
rnacentral:rRNA from 1 species